UACGAAGGGGGCUAGCGUUGUUCGGACUUACUGGGCGUAAAGCGCACGUAGGCGGAUUUGUUAGUCAGGGGUGAAAUCCCGGGGCUCAACCUCGGAACUGCCUUUGAUACUGCAAGUCUCGAGUCCGAGAGAGGUGAGUGGAAUUCCUAGUGUAGAGGUGAAAUUCGUAGAUAUUAGGAAGAACACCAGUGGCGAAGGCGGCUCACUGGCUCGGUACUGACGCUGAGGUGCGAAAGCGUGUGGAGCAAACAGG
rnacentral:rRNA from 1 species